rnacentral:snoRNA from 1 species
ACCCUUUUGUAGUUCCUAAGUGUGACGAUUGGGUGUCUGUGCCUCCUUCGAUCUUUGUUAUCAGCACAAUACUUGUGUGACA